AUAUUUACCUGGCACAGGAGAUACCAUGAUUACAAAUAUGGCUUUUCAAGGGGAGGCUUCUGCAUUGCACUGUGGAUGAGCUGAUCCUUGAGAUUUUCCCAAUCACUGGGAAAUCAACUGUAUAAUUUGUGUUGGUGGCAGGUUGCAUUCUCAUUUUCUUU
rnacentral:snRNA from 1 species